rnacentral:rRNA from 1 species
UCAACCCGACUUUAAUGGGUGGAGGACGGUGAGUCUUUAUUGCUUCGCCAUCCGGCCGGGGCAGAGCGUGCGCGGGCGGGCAGGCAGGCAGCGGGGGUAGGGGAGAGCCGCUAAGAGGAUCCCAAUCGCGGUGGCGGCGGGCGGAGGCGGCAGCGGGGCAGAGGAAGAGGAGGCGGGGUGGACGGGCAGGGCGGCGAGCUCGGCACGGUGCCCCCGACGAGCGGCCGGCGGAGGCGGGGCCGGGGGAGCAGCUGGCGCCAGCGGGGCACUUCACGGCGGGAGCGGGCGGUCAGCGUCGGUUCGACGGGGGAGGGGGAGAGGCCGGGACGGGGCGUGCGUGACGAGACUAAAGUCAACCAACUAGGGAGUUUAAGACUUUACGAAUGGUUUCCCUCCUCUCAACGGCCCUCCCCACUUCUGUACAGACGUGUAAUACGUAAACCCGGUGUACUCCUACUACGCUAAUAGUUUGUAGCCGAAGACUGAUCCUAGUGUUGAUGGUCCCCACUUGGUGGGGAUUUCUUCGAGGUUUUCUUCAAGUACAGGAAGCGGUGGCUCCAUCUCUUCCUACGUCUGUUAUGUUCACUGACACUCUCCGACAUGUUCCGGAAAGACGUCCUUUAAUUGUGAAAACUCGACGGAGAAGAUUUUUCGUUCCGACAUCAACUACGUUUAGAGUCCCUUUUCCUCUCGAAGUUGCUCGACGUCCAACUCUAGGUCGCUGUUUAGAACGUUCGAGUCUGACUAUAACUCCUAGAAUUUUUCGUUGAACUCGUUUCGUUCUAACUCUCCGUCGUGUUUCUCCUCACACUUCGUUAGUCUUUUGACUAAAGGAGCGUCGGAGGUGCCAGUCUUUGGCUCUUUGAAUAGCGAUUAGAACUCUUCCUCUAUCGAUUAAACCUCCGGCUCUCACGUCGUACAUGUUCCUGCAAUCUCGAAUCCUUCUUCGUCAAACGAGAAGAAGACGUACACCACCUCCUUAACGUUUAGAGCUAGCUUCUACUCGUUUCCUUGUAUCGUCUACUCGACUCUCGGCGGUGACUUCUCGGUUUCAACUCGUAUCUCCUUCCGUCGCCGCCACGAAGCCUACGCUACCGACAUCUGACUAAUUGCUAGGAUCGUGAUCGCUCAACGAAUGGGACGUGCGAGUUCGUACGAAGCCAUCACAGACCCGCGCCACAAAGAAACAUUCUCUAGGGAAAAAACAACAACGACACCAUAGAACUUGGCAUUCUACAUGAACUGCAGCUUGGUAAGGCACGAACAUACUAUCUCUACGUCUUAGUAACACGACAUUAUACAUGAGGUCUAAAUCUUAACGUCGCACUAAUAAAUAGCUUUUGCCGCCUCAGUUGUCACACGGUACGACUGACCCCAUUUUGUCCGACAGUUCCUCACGGACUUUGAGACCGACCACUAAAACAGAUGGAGACUUGACUCUACAACCGUGACCAAAUACUUGAAUAUCGACUACCCCUACGAACAACACAAACAGGAGUUACUUUGUAACCAUAUACUUGAAGUCAUUGAAACUGUGUUUUAUCUUG